AAAAGCUCGUAGUUGGAUCUCAGUUCCAGACGGGCGGUCCGCCUAACGGUGGUCACUGCCCGGCCUGAACAGCCGGCCGGUUUCCCCCGAUGAUCUUCACCGGUUGUCCCGGGUGACCGGCACGUUUACUUUGAAAAAAUUAGAGUGCUCAAAGCAGGCGCGCGGCCUGGAUAAUGGUGCAUGGAAUAAUGGAAUAGGACUUCGUUUCUAUUUUGUUGGUUUUCGGAACACGAGGUAAUGAUUAAGAGGGACAGACGGGGGCAUUCGUAUUGCGACGCUAGAGGUGAAAUUCUUGGACCGUCGCAAGACGAACUACUGCGAAAGCAUUUGCCAAGAAUGUUUUCAUUAAUCAAGAACGAAAGUUAGAGGUUCGAAGGCGAUCAGAUACCGCCCUAGUUCUAACCAUAAACGAUGCCAACCAGCGAUCCGCCUGAGUUCCUCAAAUGACUCGGCGGGCAGCUUCCGGGAAACCAAAGUGUUUGGGUUCCGGGGGAAGUAUGGUUGCAAAGCUGAAACUUAAAGGAAUUGACGGAAGGGCACUACCAGAUGUGGAGCCUGCGGUUUAAUUUGACUCAACACGGGACAUCUCACCCGGCCCGGACACUGGAAGGAUUGACAGAUUAAGAGCUCUUUCUUGAUUCAGUGGGUGGUGGUGCAUGGCC
rnacentral:rRNA from 1 species